rnacentral:rRNA from 2 species
UACGAAGGGGGCUAGCGUUGUUCGGAAUCACUGGGCGUAAAGGGCGCGUAGGCGGCUGUUCAAGUCGGGGGUGAAAGCCUGUGGCUCAACCACAGAAUUGCCUUCGAUACUGGACGGCUCGAGACCGGAAGAGGUCAGUGGAACUGCGAGUGUAGAGGUGAAAUUCGUAGAUAUUCGCAAGAACACCAGUGGCGAAGGCGGCUGACUGGUCCGGUUCUGACGCUGAGGCGCGAAAGCGUGGGGAGCAAACAGG